rnacentral:piRNA from 1 species
UGCUUGCUGUGUGACAGGAAAUGUGAAGC